UGCUAGAUACCUUUCAGAAGCAUGGCUGCAU
rnacentral:piRNA from 1 species